GGUGGUUAAGUUAGUUGGAUCAUCAUCCCAUGUACAAAAAGGUUGUGGGUUCAAUUCCUAGUCAGGGCACAUAGCUAGGCUGCUGGUUUGAUUCCCA